rnacentral:rRNA from 1 species
GCGAAAGUAAGACUAAUGCCCAAUGAUAUCUAUAGAAGGCAUCUGAAAUGAAUUAAAGAUUUAUCGGUGAUGGAUGGGGAUGCGUCUGAUUAGCUUGUUGGCGGGGUAACGGCCCACCAAGGCGACGAUCAGUAGGGGUUCUGAGAGGAAGGUCCCCCACAUUGGAACUGAGACACGGUCCAAACUCCUACGGGAGGCAGCAGUGAGGAAUAUUGGUCAAUGGGCGAGAGCCUGAACCAGCCAAGUAGCGUGCAGGAUGACGGCCCUAUGGGUUGUAAACUGCUUUUAUAGGGGAAUAAAGUGAGCCACGUGUGGUUUUUUGCAUGUACCCUAUGAAUAAGGACCGGCUAAUUCCGUGCCAGCAGCCGCGGUAAUACGGAAGGUCCGGGCGUUAUCCGGAUUUAUUGGGUUUAAAGGGAGCGUAGGCCGGAGAUUAAGCGUGUUGUGAAAUGUAGAUGCUCAACAUCUGAACUGCAGCGCGAACUGGUUUCCUUGAGUACGCAUAAAGUGGGCGGAAUUCGUGGUGUAGCGGUGAAAUGCUUAGAUAUCACGAAGAACUCCGAUUGCGAAGGCAGCUCACUGGGGCGCAACUGACGCUGAAGCUCGAAAGCGCGGGUAUCGAACAGGAUUAGAUACCCUGGUAGUCCGCGCGGUAAACGAUGGAUGCCCGCUGUUGGGCCAACUGGUUCAGCGGCCAAGCGAAAGCAUUAAGCAUCCCACCUGGGGAGUAC